rnacentral:rRNA from 1 species
GACGAACGCUGGCGGCGUGCUUCACACAUGCAAGUCGAACGAAGUGGCGGACGGGUGAGUAACGCGUAAUCAACCUGCACUUCACAGGGGGACAACAGUUGGAAACGACUGCUAAUACCGCAUACUGAAGUAGGGGAUUGAGUCUGAUUAGCUAGUUGGAGGGGUAACGGCCCACAAAGGCGAUGAUCAGUAGCCGGUCUGCGAGGAUGAACGGCCACAUCGGGACUGAGACACGGCCCAGACUCCUACGGGAGGCAGCAGUGGGGAAUCUUCAGCAAUGGACGAAAGUCUGACGGAGCAACGCCGCGGGAGUGAUGACGGCCUUCGGGUUGUAAAGCUCUGUUAAUCGGGACGCGGUACCGGAAUAGAAAGCCACGGCUAACUACGUGCCAGCAGCCGCGGUAAUUC